UAGGAUGAUUGACAGCCUUGCUAAGAAACGAAAGUGAGGAGAACGGAAGGAAAAUAGCACAAAAAACCUUAAUAGAAUUCAUCCCAACAUCACACACUCAACACAACAGUUCAGGACGGGAAGUAGAAAAAUCUUCAAAUAUAAUCUGAGAGCUGAACAUAUUUAAGGAGACUGAAGAUUACAGGCUCUACAAUGAGUCACUAUGAGGAGAGAGAGGAGGACGAUGUUCACUAUCAGAACAAAAGAGCAGCAUCUCCAGAGUCCAGCUGUGUGUCUAUGAGGAGUGAUCAAUCCAUGCCACAUUCCCCUAACUUCAGCGCUGGAUCAGUGACCUUUAACCCCAGUGACACUGAGAACAAAAGAGCAGCAUCUCCAGAGUCCAGCUGUGUGUCUAUGAGGAGUGAUCAAUCCAUGCCACAUUCCCCUAACUUCAGCGCUGGAUCAGUGACCUUUAACCCCAGGUGAGAUGAU